AUCGCUUCUCGGCUCUCUGAGCUAAGAUCAUGUGUAGUAUCUGUUCUGUGCAGUGUAAUUUCUGCAACGGUCCCUAAUUUGGGACCAAUGAAAUUACCUGUAUUU
rnacentral:snRNA from 1 species